rnacentral:rRNA from 1 species
UACGAAGGGGGCAAGCGUUGUUCGGAAUUACUGGGCGUAAAGGGCGCGCAGGCGGCCAAUCAAGUCAGAUGUGAAAGCCCCGGGCUCAACCUGGGAAUAGCAUUUGGGACUGGUUGGCUAGAGUAUCGGAGAGGUUGGUGGAAUUCUCGGUGUAGAGGUGAAAUUCGUAGAUAUCGAGAGGAACACCGGUGGCGAAGGCGGCCAACUGGACGAAUACUGACGCUGAGACUCGAAAGCGUGGGGAGCAAACAGG